CAGCCGCCGCGGUAACACGGAGGAUCCAAGCGUUAUCCGGAAUCAUUGGGUUUAAAGGGUCCGUAGGCGGUCUUGUAAGUCAGUGGUGAAAGCCCAUCGCUCAACGGUGGAACGGCCAUUGAUACUGCAGGACUUGAAUUAUUGGGAAGUAACUAGAAUAUGUAGUGUAGCGGUGAAAUGCUUAGAGAUUACAUGGAAUACCAAUUGCGAAGGCAGGUUACUACCAAUUGAUUGACGCUGAUGGACGAAAGCGUGGGUAGCGAACAGGAUUAGAUACCCCCGUAGUCCCUGUCUCUUAUAC
rnacentral:rRNA from 1 species